GGAAUAACUGUUUCAAUGAAACUAAAAAGAAAUUUCUUAAUAGGUGAAAAUUCCUUUUAAUUAAUAUAAUAGACGAGAAGACCCUAAGAAUUAUAUAUUAAAAUUAUAGUUUUAUAAAAAUUUUUGUUGGGGCAACAGAUUUGGUCAAAUCAAUAACUUUUAGAUUUGCACAUUAAGUAUAUUUAAUAAGAAUUUAAUUACCUUAGGGAUAACAGCAUUAUUAAUAUAUUAGAUUGUGACCUCGAUGUUGGACUAGGGACUUUUAAAGUAAGCCAUUUUAAAAGAUUGUUCUGUUCGCACAUAAAAC
rnacentral:rRNA from 1 species